rnacentral:rRNA from 1 species
CCUACGGGAGGCAGCAGUGGGGGAUAUUGCACAAUGGGGGGAACCCUGAUGCAGCGACGCCGCGUGAGUGAAGAAGUAAUUCGUUAUGUAAAGCUCUAUCAGCAGGGAAGAAUAAAUGACGGUACCUGAGUAAGAAGCCCCCGCUAACUACGUGCCAGCAGCCGCGGUAAUACGUAGGGGGCAAGCGUUAUCCGGAUUUACUGGGUGUAAAGGGAGCGUAGACGGCGAUGCAAGCCAGAUGUGAAAGCCCGCGGCUCAACUGCGGUAGUGCAUUUGGAACUGUAUGGCUGGAGUGCAGGAGAGGCAGGCGGAAUUCCUAGUGUAGCGGUGAAAUGCGUAGAUAUUAGGAGGAACUCCGAUUGCGAAGGCAGCAUACCGGCGCUCAACUGACGCUCAUGCACGAAAGCGUGGGUAUCGAACAGGAUUAGAUACCCUUGUAGUC